CGUAAAGUGAGACUGUUGUAACGACCCGCCACAGAAAUCGAAUAAUUAUUAAAGCUUGGCUUAAUAUUA